rnacentral:rRNA from 1 species
CAGUCGCCGCGGUAAUACGUAGGGUGCAAGCGUUAAUCGGAAUUACUGGGCGUAAAGCGUGCGCAGGCGGUUAUAUAAGACAGAUGUGAAAUCCCCGGGCUCAACCUGGGAACUGCAUUUGUGACUGUAUAGCUAGAGUACGGCAGAGGGGGAUGGAAUUCCGCGUGUAGCAGUGAAAUGCGUAGAUAUGCGGAGGAACACCGAUGGCGAAGGCAAUCCCCUGGGCCUGUACUGACGCUCAUGCACGAAAGCGUGGGGAGCAAACAGGAUUAGAUACCCCCCGUAGUCCCUGUCUCUUAUU